CAGUGGGUAGCUAGUGACUCACCCUCCAGGUAAAGACAUUUUUCCGGAUUUCGGAAAAAUGUCUUUACCUGGAGGGUGAGGAGUCUUUACCUGGAGGGUGAGGACAUUUUUCCGAAAUCCGGAAAAAAUGUCUUUACCUGGAGGGUGAGUCACUAGCUACCCACUG